rnacentral:rRNA from 1 species
UACGGAGGGUGCGAGCGUUGUCCGGAAUCACUGGGCGUAAAGGGCGCGUAGGCGGCCUGAUAAGGUAGGGGGUGAAAUCCUGCGGCUUAACCGCAGGGCUGCCUUCUAAACUGUCAGGCUCGAGCACAGUAGAGGCAGGUGGAAUUCCCGGUGUAGCGGUGGAAUGCGUAGAGAUCGGGAAGAACAUCAGUGGCGAAAGCGACUUCCUGGACCAAUACUGACGCUCAUGCUGCGAAAGCGUGGGUAGCAAACAGG